rnacentral:lncRNA from 1 species
AUGGGACGAAUGAGAGGCGCCGGGACCUUCCGCGUUCGCGCCCUCAGGUGGGAGUUAGCUGGACGACCGUGGGCGGAUUCCCGGUUCGUCCCGGCCUUUCGAGAGGGGAGCCCAGCCCCCAUGGCCGCUGCAGCCUAGCCUGAUGGCUGGGAUCCUGCCCCACCUCGGAGACCAGGCCAUGGAAGCUGUGUUCCUGACAGCCCGGUGGAAGGUGAGCUGUGGGUCCUCCUCCGCUUCCUCAGUAUAGUCCUUGUGGCAGGUUGUCACCUGUGCUUCUGACCAACUGGCUAUAAACUGGAGGUUUUCACAUCCCCCUCCUUGGUUUCUAUUGAUUUGCUAGAGUGGCUCACACAACUCAGAAAAACAGUUUAUUUACUAGAUUACUGGUUUAUUAUAAAAGAAUAUACUCAGGAACAGCCAGAUAGGAGAGAUGCACAGGACAAGGUUUGUGGGAAGAGGUGCAGAGUUUCCAUGCUCUCUCCAGGCACGCCCUGCCUCCCACUACCUCCCCCUGUUUUGGGGUUUUUAUGGAGGUUCGUUACAGAGGCGUGAUUGAUGGAAUCAUUCAACCUCCAGCUCCUUUCUCCUCCCCAAAGGUGUUGGAGCGGGGAUGAAAGAUCUAAUCACAUGGGUGGUCCCCUGGCAACCAGCCCCCAUCCUUAGGAGCUUUCCAGAGGUCACAUCAUUAACAUGAACUUAGGU